AUUGCUAUCAUUUGCAGAUUUGGGAGAGAAACUUACUUUUUGAGUUCGGAUUCUCUUAGUCGGCGCUGUUUGUCCUGGAUGUAAGCAGUUGGAUCAAAACGAGGUGCUCGAGACCCUGAAAAGGUCAAAGUUCACACCAGUGGGAGAAGGUGACGGCCUUCGUACGACAGAACGCGUCCCUGUCGAGUCUGCUCGUCUCCCUCUUUCUGUUGACCUUUGCACUCUGUCGCCUCGGCGUUCUCUGGAUCCCGAGCGACCCCUGACAGGGUUGUGCGAACGAUAGAUCUCCCUACAUGCGGAAGUGGCCGUCCCUCUGCUACAGAUACAAGGGCGGCCGGGUCCGGCUUUCCGAUGUAUGGCAGCGGUAAAGGGUAGUGUAUCCUAGGGAGGAACAAGUCAGCGGUGCGCACAAUCCAAAAGAAAACCAAAACCAAAUCACCAAGGGCAACCAAACCUGUCAAACUCCACAGUGUAGAUGAGAAUAAGGUAACGUUUGGCCGUCAGAGCAGACGACUGCGGAUGGCCCCGAGGGCGACCGACCACUCCGGCUUUUCUGUUCCGCAGAAGCUCCAGAUCCGCAUAGGUCAACAAGUCGAGUGUGACGGAAUCACUCGUCUGCAGAAAAACGUAGACAUUAAUAAUCCUGGCUUGACAUAAACCAGUGUGGAUGGGUUGCAGACAUUUAUUUUGAAACAUUCCUUCAUUUAUGUUCCCGCCUCCCUCUGACCUCUCUGCCUGGAGAGAGGGAACAAGAUAGCAUGGGAAUCUUCCAAUUUUUCGCUCCAGUGUCCGCUGCGGCUCAUGCUGCCCGAAGCGUCUUCCUGUCCGUUUACAUCCUUCUAUUUACUCGCAAGCCACCUAUGUUGAGCUUUGUUUGCCAACAUACCUUUCUCACGGCGGAUUCCAACAUGCUACAAAAAAUGGGGAACUGUUUGAAGUUGCCUGUUUUGCGUGUGAGGUCUUCGAUGUCUGAAAAAAAAACAGGAAGGAUGCAACAUGAGGAAUGUGACUUAAACAUGUACACGCCAUCUUUGAUUGAUAACUGACAACUUACACGCCGGAUCAAAUUCUCCCCUCCACUGAUCUGCCGUCUUUGAAUCCGAAAUUUCCACCAGCAGCACGCCCUUAUCCACUUCCACCUUCACGGCAAAUUCCGCUCCUCGGAACACAAUAUUCUCCAUCACCUCCAAGCCCUCCUCCAUUUUUCAGUCUGUAAUAAAGGGACGACCAAUUUCAAUCAAUAAGUGCCUUGCAGUGGAAAAAACCCCAAUAAGACUUAAAUGUAAUCAUUUGUAACAGCUGAAUCAGUGAUACAAUAAACUCUGGGAUUUUUUUU